rnacentral:rRNA from 1 species
GAUGAACGCUGGCGGCGUGCCUAAUACAUGCCAGUCGAGCGAACGGACGAGAAGCUUGCUUUUCUGAUGUUAGCGGCGGACGGGUGAGUAACACGUGGAUAACCUACCUAUAAGACUGGGAUAACUUCGGGAAACCGGAGCUAAUACCGGAUAAUAUUUUGAACCGCAUGGUUCAAAAGUGAAAGACGGUCUUGCUGUCACUUAUAGAUGGAUCCGCGCUGCAUUAGCUAGUUGGUAAGGUAACGGCUUACCAAGGCAACGAUGCAUAGCCGACCUGAGAGGGUGAUGCGCGCCAGUGGGACUGAGCGACGGUCCAGAGUCCGACGGGAGGCAGCAGUAGCGAAUCGUGCGCGAAGGGCGAAAGACUGACGGAGCAGCGCCGCGCGAGUGCUGAAGGUCUUCGGAUCGGAAAACGCUGUUAGGAGGGAAGAACAUAUGUGUAAGUAACUGUGCACAUCGUGACGGUACCUAGAUAGAAAGCCCCGGCUAACUACGUG